CGCCGGUUAGCUCAGAUGGUUAGAGCGUCGUGCUAAAACGCGAAUGUCAUGGGUUCCAGCCCUAUACUAGCCA
rnacentral:tRNA from 1 species